rnacentral:rRNA from 1 species
GUGAUUCAUGACUGGGGUGAAGUCGUAACAAGGUAACCGUAGGGGAACCUGCGGUUGGAUCACCUCCUUACCAAA